GGAGCCCUCUGCCUCCUUCCCCUUCCCCCCCAGCCCAAAGAGGCGUGCUGCCAGCUGCUUCAGACAGCGACACGGGGCUCGCAACAUCACAGGGGGCAAUCUCACAGAUAUGCAGUCUUCACUGUCCCAUGGGAGGAAGAGAAGCAGACAUCGCAAUGGAGGGAAGUCGGGGGCUGACGAAGAGAACUUCCAGGAAAACAAGUCCCUUGGAAAGUCAGGAAUGGACUAUCUCAUGUUAAGCCAGAGGGCCACCAUACUGUCAAGGGAUGACUAGCUGUUGCAGCAACAUGGAUGUGUUAGUCUGACAAAGCAAGUUGAUGAACGUGGCCAAUUAUAAGGGAGGUGCUGUGGUUGAUCGA